CGAACGGGUGAGUAACGCGUGAGGAACCUGCCUCAAAGAGGGGGACAACAGUUGGAAACGACUGCUAAUACCGCAUAAGCCCACAGCUCGGCAUCGAGCAGAGGGAAAAGGAGUGAUCCGCUUUGAGAUGGCCUCGCGUCCGAUUAGCUAGUUGGUGGGGUAACGGCCCACCAAGGCGACGAUCGGUAGCCGGACUGAGAGGUUGAACGGCCACAUUGGGACUGAGACACGGCCCAG
rnacentral:rRNA from 1 species